rnacentral:lncRNA from 1 species
AUAUAUUAAAAUUCCAAAAUAAUUAUGUAUUCACUUGAAUAUAGUUUUACUUAUAAAUGUUAAAAUAUUGUGGUAUUUAAUAUAUUAUUUAUUUAACAUUCAAAUUUAAUAAGGAUACAAAUGUAAAAGUACAUAUUUUCAGCUUUUUAAGCUGAAAAAACAAACAACUUAAUACUUAUUUUUCGAGAUUCAGACGAAAAAACAAACAUAUUAUUCAGAUUCAGAUAUUCAGACCUAUUCAGAAUUCAGACUAAUUCAGGUCUACUCAGAUUUCAGAUAAACAAAACAAAUGCCACCUAAGUAAAAAAUAAUUCAAAGGACAAAAUGGUAAAACUAGAAGGGUGGAGUAAUAUGGCUACCUUGGGUUACAUAGUAAGUUGACUACAUUCAAAGUAUAAAAUAUUAGAAACUGAACGGUGGAGUAAUCGUCGUUUAGAUGAAUGAUAUGUCUAAGACGUUGCAUGCAUCAAGAAAAUUGCAGAUGAUUAAACCUUGCCAUCUAUGCGUUGUAUGAGGUUAUAGCAACUAUCUAUCUGGUCACCGUUUUCAAGUCUCAAUUGGUAGUCCAAAGAAAAGAAUGAUUUUGCAAUAGCAUUAAGUGUUAAUUGGACACAAAAGGAAGUGUUUUAACCACUUUAAGGAAAGUAAAUGUAAUUUUCUGUCCUAAAGAAAAGGUAAAUGUAUGCACUUUCAAUUAAUCUUUGGUCGACCAGCAACAUCAUAAUUUCGUUUAGGUUCAUUUUUGUUUCUUAGAGUUUGUAAAAAGAAUGGAAAGAUUUUAAAAUAUAAAUUUCAUAUCUGUUUAUUACUGUUGUUUGGUCUAAUUUCUUAUGUAGAAUUUUCAGAAUCUGUAGGACAUUAGUUUAUAAUUUUGAGAUUUUGCAGCCAUAAAUGUAUUUUUCUUUUUUUGUUGCCAUUUUAUUUUGCUCCUUUAUCUAUGUGCAUGUUGACUGGCUGCAGUGAGUGAAAAUUUACCUAUAUAUGCUGGCUAUUCUUGGACAAUAUUAGAGAAAAUAAUCAUAUUAUUUCGCGUGAUGUGAACUUCCAUAACUUAUCAAUUGAAUUGCUGUAAAAUAUUAAAUAGUUUUAUUUUUCUUUUAUCGUGUAACUUGGACCAAAAAAGGAAAUGAGUUUAACAUGACCCUCAUUCCGGCACUAUGCCUGUUUUUCUUGUAUUGAUGACAGUGCUCUUGGUGCUUCUCAUCUGCUUCUUGCUUUGGUUUCAAACGAGUCUUUCUCCGUCAAGACAUUUAUUGUAAUUUCAUUUGGAGACAUCUAUCGUUCAAUAUAUUUCAUAUGCAAGCUGUUAAUAAUUCUGCUUGCAGAAAGCCUACAAAGCAGCUGUGUGAUUUAAUAGAAGACCAUAGUCUCGUCAAUUUUUCAACAUUAGAUAUUCAGUGUCAUAUUUGGCUGCAUCUAGAAGCCACUGCAUCUAGAAGCCUUGAAUAAGCAAAGUUGGCUUUGACAGCCGGCCAAAGAAAAUGUUGAAGAAUUUGGCAGCAGCAAAUUUGGAAUGAAGAAAAAGAAGAAAGAAGAAAAUAGAAGAAUGAAGACGGUGGUAAAAAUAAUAAUUUAAUAGCCAUUUUUUUGGCUAUAAAAGGCAGAGCUCCUCAUUUCAUUUUGUAUCCAAUUCCAUUCAGAGAGCAAUUUAGGGAGUUGAGAGAGAGUUUGAGAGCUUGCAUUUAUAAGCUCUUGUUACAGUGAUUGAGAGAGUUUGGGUGUAUUGGGGUUUUAGGGAAGUGAGCUAAAAUACUACAAUACUUGUAACUCCUUUUCACUAGUAAAAUAUUUCCUUCUGUCUUCGCCCGUGGAUGUAGGCUAAAAGCCGAACCACGUAAUUUCUGGUGUCCUCUAUUGUGCUGGUUCUUUAUUUUUUCUUCCAAUUUCAUUUUAGCUGCGGUCCUACUUCACCCACCAAUUUCCUAACAGUGGUAUCAGAGCCAGGUUGUAUUUUUUGGAGUCGGGAACUGUUCCGGUCCUACUUCACCCACCAAUUUCCUAACAGUGGUAUCAGAGCCAGGUUGUAUUUUUUGGAGUCGGGAACUGUUCACGUAAGGGGUACUAUUCACGUAUACGGCACCGUACACGUAUAUGAAACUAUUCACGUAUACGGUACUGUUCAUAUAUACGGUGUUGUUUACAUAGACUGUACUAUUCACGUAUAUGGUACUAUUCACGUGAAGCGGUGGAAGCGAUCCAAGAAUUUUACGGUGCAACUAUUCAAGGUGGUACACUAACUUGUGUGCAGUAUUUAUCAACAAAAUGGCGGCAAAGUAUGAAAUUGAGAAAUUUAACAACUAUUCAAG